rnacentral:tRNA from 1 species
GGUAAUAACUCAGUGGUGGAGUGUGUGCUUAGCACACACGAGGUCCUGGGUUCAAUCCCCAGAACCU